rnacentral:rRNA from 1 species
GGAUAACCUACUAUAAGACUGGGAUAACUUCGGGAAACCGGAGCUAAUACCGGAUAAUAUUUUGAACCGCAUGGUUCAAAAGUGAAAGACGGUCUUGCUGUCACUUAUAGAUGGAUCCGCGCUGCAUUAGCUAGUUGGUAGGAGACGGCUUACCAAGGCAACGAUGCAUAGCCGACCUGAGAGGGUGAUCGGCCACACUGGAACUGAGACACGGUCCAG